rnacentral:rRNA from 1 species
CCCUUAGAUGUCCUGGGCCGCACGCGCGCUACACUGAACGGAUCAGCGCGUUUUCCCUUCCCGAGAGGGACGGGUAACCUGCUGAACCCCGUUCGUGGUAGGGAUCGGGGCUUGCAAUUAUUCCCCGUGAACCAGGAAUGCCCAGUAAGUGCAAGUCAUAAGCUUGCGUUGAUUACGUCCCUGCCCUUUGUACACACCGCCCGUCGCUCCUACAGAUUGAGCAGUCCGGUGAAUACUUCGGACCGUUUGCAUAGAUGGUUCGCCAUCUUUGCGAAUGGAAAGUCGAGUGAACCUUACUGCUUAGAUGAAGGAGAAGUCGUAACA